AGGUUGAUCCUGCCGGACCCGACUGCUAUCGGAUUGGGACUAAGCCAUGCGAGUCAACUCCGCAAGGGGUGGCGCACGGCUCAGUAACACGUAGUCAACCUACCCUGGGGACGGGGAUAACCUCGGGAAACUGAGGCUAAACCCCGAUGGGCCAUGGCUCCUGGAAUGGGCUAUGGCUGAAAUCUACAUGGCCCCAGGAUGGGACUGCGGCCGAUCAGGUUGUUGGUGGGGUAAUGGCCCACCA
rnacentral:rRNA from 1 species